rnacentral:rRNA from 1 species
UACGUAGGGGGCGAGCGUUGUCCGGAUUUAUUGGGCGUAAAGAGCGUGUAGGCGGCCAAGCAGGUCCGUUGUGAAAACUGGAGGCUUAACCUCCAGACGUCGACGGAAACCGCGCGGCUAGAGUCCGGAAGAGGAGAGUGGAAUUCCUGGUGUAGCGGUGAAAUGCGCAGAUAUCAGGAAGAACACCAAUGGCGAAGGCAGCUCUCUGGGACGGUACUGACGCUGAGACGCGAAAGCGUGGGGAGCGAACAGG